rnacentral:lncRNA from 7 species
AGCGCUGCAGAGGGGUUGGAGAGAGGAGCGCUCAACUAUUUGCGAUGAUUUCUUUUUUUCUUUCCUUUUUAAUUGUAGAUGAAAGACCGCACGAUGUCUCUUUCCGUAUGAAUUUCUCAUUGCAGAAUGAAGGCGCAUCGAUGUGAGAAACCGGGCGUUUCUAUGAGAUGACGGCAUUGUUUUUUUUCUGCCCUGCCAGAACAGUGCUGUCCUCCUCCUGCAUGGCCAUCUCCUCGCCUAUGAGCCUCGCAUUGCUGCGGGGCAGCUGCGUGCGGGGUUGCGUUGGCCCCGCGCACCGGGAGGUGGCACUGCAGCCGCAGCUUUGCGUGCCUUUGCACAGGUAAAGUGUGUUUUACUGGGAAAACAGUGGGAAGGAGCAAAACGUGGGAGCGUGGAGCAAGGAGGGUUUCCCUGGCACUUGUUUUCCACCUUUGUGAUGCCCUGGGAAAAGUUCUAAGCAAGCAUUUUCCUCCCCAAGUUCUACUCUGCAAAGUGUGCUCCUCAAGCAAAGCACAGAGAGAAGGGAUCAAUCUAGUGCUCAUAGGACUCCGCUCAUCACUUUCAGCUCUUGCAUAGCCCUUUUAUGCAGAUGGGAAUGGCUUUCUGCAAGAGCAACGGCCAAAGACCAUUGUUGGAGGGUGGCAUCCACCCAAAAAGAAAGGAAACCUGGGCUCACUGCUAGAGCAGACGUGGGAAAAUCAACACCUUGGCAACAUGAGCACACUGCAGAUCUGGAAACAGCACUAAACCUGUCCUGGCUGCACAUGGGAAAAGAGCAGAAGGUGAAGGUUCCCCCAUGCCUGGAGCACCUCUUGUAAUGGGCGCAUCCCUUUGUUGGUGGGAGUCUCGGAGGAGAUUGCUGCUAUCUGUAUUGUGAGGUGGACACGAGCUUUCUGACCUGCUUUAAGUCAUCUGCCCCAUGUUUGAUCCCCACAUCUGGAUUUUGCAGUUCAAAGGUAAUUCAGAAUCCUCCUUUCUGGUUGUUUUACAGUGCUGGGAGUCACCCUGAAACAUGAGAAAAUACUGCAAAU